GGCGAGUGAAGCGGCAAAAGCUCAAAUUUGAAAUCUAGCACUUUCAGUGUUCGAGUUGUAAUUUGAAGAAGGUAACUUUGGAAUUGGCUCUUGUCUAUGUUCCUUGGAACAGGACGUCACAGAGGGUGAGAAUCCCGUGCGAUGAGAUGUCCAAUUCUAUGUAAAGUGCUUUCGAAGAGUCGAGUUGUUUGGGAAUGCAGCUCUAAGUGGGUGGUAAAUUCCAUCUAAAGCUAAAUAUUGGCGAGAGACCGAUAGCGAACAAGUACAGUGAUGGAAAGAUGAAAAGAACUUUGAAAAGAGAGUGAAAAAGUACGUGAAAUUGUUGAAAGGGAAGGGCUUGAGAUCAGACUUGGUAUUUUGUGUUCCUUAUUCUUUUUGGAUUUGGUUCCUCACAGCUUACCGGGCCAGCAUCGGUUUGGAUGGUAGGAUAAUGACAUUGGAAUGUAGCUUUGCUUCGGUGAAGUGUUAUAGACUUUGUUGAUACUGCCUAUCUAGACCGAGGACUGCGUCUUUGACUAGGAUGCUGGCGUAAUGAUCUUAAGCCGCCCGUCUU
rnacentral:rRNA from 1 species